rnacentral:lncRNA from 1 species
CUUUAAAAAAAAAAAAAAUUAAAAAAAAAAUCCCUGCCCGCAAUAAAAAGAAGCGGCUUUGCUUCCCCGCCCUCCCCCUGCCCCCUGCUUUUUUUUUCCUGCCCCUAAACAAGCCGAAAAGGGAGCGAAGGCUGCGGGGUGGCCGUGCCCACCAUCGAUUUUUCGUGGAAGGAGCCCAGAAAGGGUGGUGAUGGAGCACGGGGCUGCGAGCCCCCGGCCCCAGCAGCCGGCAGCGGGGAGCUGAACCAGAGCCGGGGGGAGCAUCGCUGCUGGCUGGGGCUCUGCUCGGCCAGAAAAAUCAAAGGGAGGAGGAAAAUCGAGGUGGAGGAGAGGAAGAAGAAGGGCCGAAGGGCUCGGGCGAAGCAGCCAUUAGGAAAGUGCUGAUGCAGAGGUUCACUUGUGUCUACGGGCAGAGUUGGAGGAGUUGCUGUUCGCGGACAAAGGCGGUAGGAGGGAGUGGAGCUUUGUAGAAGCUGGAGCCUGUCUCGCUGGGUGUCUGCGUUUCAUUCCCUGUCAAGCGGCUGGGGAAAAGCAGGGAAGCGCCGAGCUGCAGCGCUCGCUCAGGAUCAGAUAGCAAGGAAACCAAUAGCAGAGGGAACCAAAAAAAAAAAAAAAAAAAAGAAAGGAAAAAAAAAAAAGAAACAACAAACCACCGAGCAAGCAAGCAACCCACCCUCCACGCUGAGACUGAAGCAGGCAGGUCCCUGCCAACUACACAGCACGCAUCCAGCAGCGAAGAAGUCUUCCCUCCCCGGGCAGGAGCGGAGUUGAGCCCGAAGGAUAUUUGAUGACACUUUUGCAGCGAUGGGGCCCCCAGCAUCUUCCAGAGCCCAUUUGAGGGCGAAGCCUCUGAAAGCGCAGAGGGAGUUUGAAGCUAAAUUCACCUGAGUCUGGAUCUCUUGGCCGCUGGGAUUUAUCUAUCUAUCUAUCUAUUUUUAUUUUUCUCCAGGGAAACCAAACAAAAAAAAACCGUGUUUUGUUGUUUGUUUGUUUUUAAGCUCUUUUUUUUUUUUUUUUUUCUUUUGGAAGAAGAUCUUUAUUUUUAUUUUUUUUUCGUGUGGUUGCAAUGGAGGGGUUGGGUCUGUGCCUACGAAGCAGCAGCCGAAUGCUGGUCCUGGGAGAAACCGGCGCGGACGCGGGGUCCCUCGCCAGCUAACUCCGCAGGACCCGGGGCCGGGGGUCUCGAUGCAGUGAGAGAGCCUCUCACGGGAUCCGCGUGGUGACGUGGCCGCCAAGACGUGGAAGCUUGGGACUUCUCUUCCACCGCAACAGAAUUUGGGGGGUGGGCAGGGGUGGGCCAGGGGGACGUCAAGAGUCGCGAGACCCUUCACCUUC